UGCUAGUCUGGACUGAUAUGGU
rnacentral:miRNA from 1 species